CAUAGAAACCAUUUUUUCUGUAAAAGAAUAGUAGCUUGGAAGACUUCAAGUAGCAUCAGACAAACAGAGAGAUGGCAACAACGUUUUCUUCCAUCCUGUGCAAGAUCCUUCUCGUUAUUGUAGCCAUGCUUGCCCUCCUUUGCUCUGCCUAUGCAAGAGACGCAUCAGAAUAUGGGCAGUGUUUUUCCCGGCCUGAAUGCAGCAACUACUGCAAGCAGCAAGGAUACCUCAGGGGAGGGGAGGUCAUGCCGCCCAACUUCAUGGACUGUUGCUGUCUCAUAUGAGCAUCACCGUGUAAUGUGCCAUUUUAUGUCUAAAUAAUAAAAUGCUAUAAUAAAAAUGAAAUUUAUGGAUU